AACUCUUCUCUCGGACGAUCGGCCAAUUAGACGCAAGGAACUAUCCCUUCCCGCCUACGUACCCACCUCCAAACGUCACCAUGGCAACUUGUGGCGCGUGACCACGCCUGACCCAAUCCAGUGGGCGAAAGGUAGAAGUGGCAACCCGUCGAAGCAAUCAUCAUAUCCGAGAACGCCGACUUGAGCCAAUCACAAAGCUGCAAACAAAUAUAGAUGACCUUCGAAGGGUUGCCGCAGGUGAUGCGGUGGGAGCUGAAAAAAGAUUCCGAGGGCAAAGGUCCCCUGCGCGCUUGCUUACCUGAGAGCGGGCGCUGUUAAGAGUUCGUUGGAAGCUCCUCCAGAGUCGGCCGCAAGCGAGGGUUAAAUGAUCGGGAUGAGAACGUUUAGUUCCGUUCCUGUCGGUCGAAAGACUGGUUGCUGUGUAGAGUUGUUCUACAUCGCUUUUACACUGGAGAAUGACCAGGAAAGAAUUUGGUUGUGAUUUGUAUAUGGGAUCCCAGGAUUUUCAGCUGCUCAGCGGGACAAUUGCAAAAACAUCUGUUUCAUGAGGAGCCACCAUCCAGCGCACAAGUGGAUCAGGGAUCAGUUCUCUUUAUUAUAAAGGCCUGACAGAUAAGAAUCAGUGCAAGUUGAAUUCUUCCAGUUGAAUUUCUUCUCUAUCAAAAUCCUGAGGCUGCAAGAUCAGAAAGAGAUGCA